CACGAAGGCCGCCAGCGCGAAGAAGGCGGCCAUGAGUCCGUUGCAGGCCCGCCACAGGGCAGGCGCCAUGGCUCGGAGAACGCGGCGCGGGGCGGCCCCUAAGGUAAAAGCCAUGCUCCAAGUCCCCUUCUGACUUCUAGUCACUUCCGUGCUGCCAGCAGAGAGCAUGGGAUUCUUCCUGAGGAGCCUGAGUCUCAGCUUUGCCAGGUCCUUGCUGUGUGACCUUGGAUGAGAAUCCUGAGGCUCAGAGUGUGCAACCUGGCCAAAAACACCCAGCUAACAAGUGCUGAAGAUCAGCGUGGGACUGACUUCUCAUCUCUUUCUACAUCAUUUCCUAGGGAAUGGCAAGGAACCUGAGGAACCAGCGUGAGGAAAACCUGGAUGAUCUGAUGUCUUCCUCACUUUAUCCCUACCUGUCCACGCCUCCAUCCAUCCACCCAUCCAUCACUGAUCAAGCUCUCACUAUGUCUAUAGUGUAGAAGGUGCCACCAAAUGCAAUGGAACCUCUUGUCUCAUGUGUCUACUUGCAUCUUUAAGUUGAUACACGGAAGGCACAGUCCAAGCACAGGAUACUGGAAGCUAUGGAGGUACAGUGGCCUCUGAGCAAACUGAAAACUCUCUAUCACUAAAGGGUUGGACAUACAGGGUAUCUCCUCUGCUCUGCCACCUACCUUGAGGAUGCUUUACAUGUGGCUAAAAGUGGAGGCAGAGAUAUUUGGAUAAAUAAAUGCUAGAGAAUUGGAAAUUCCUAGGACAAGUCAAUUUGGAUAUGUCUAUGUCAUCCUUUUUUUUCUAAGAGACACGUAACUCUGAUCCUUAAGGAGUUAGAGAGUUCCCAUAGCUUAGGGUCUGGAAGCCAUAUUCCUUUUCAUGUAACAUCCUUGAAUAUGCUACUCGUAUACCCUAAAUUUACUCUGUAAUUCUUUUUUUUUUUUAUUUGAGAGGGAGUCUCACUCUGCUGCCUAUCCUGAAGUGCAGUGGUGUGAUCUUCACUCACUGCAACCUCCUCCACCCAGGUUCAAGCGAUUUUCCCACCUCAGGCUCCUGAGUACCUGGGAUUACAGGCACAUGCCACCACACCCGGCUAAUUUUUGUGUUUCUAGUAGAAGCGGGGUUUCACCAUGUUGGCCAGGCUGGUCUCGAACUCCUGACCUCAGGUAACCCACCCGCCUUAGCCUCCCAAAGUGUUGGGAUUUCAGGCAUGAGCCACCAUGCCUGGCCUAUAAUUAUUCUUCACAACAUAUUUCAGCAAUAGGAUUAAUUAUAUGUGUCAUUAAUUAUUCAAUGUUUGUCUGUCUUACUAAAGUGUGAGCUCCGAAAGGACAGGAGCUUACCACAAAUAGCUACAAAUUACCUAUACACAUCCUAGGUACUGUUUUAAGCCCUUCAGAUACAACCUGCUCACCCAGAACUCCCAUUCUGGUUCCAGGAUGGGGACAAAGGGAAUUGCUACCUAACACAGCUGUCAGAAAAAGUCUCUCAAAUCAGGUUGCAUGAAAAUGGAGACUGAAAGCAGUGAAGGACCAUAUUAUGAAGCUCUCUGGGAGGAGGGGCAUUUAAAGAAGAGAAAAUGGAAAGUGCAAAGGUUUUGAGGGCUGGAACAUGUUUGGUAUAUUCAAGGAACAGCAAGAAGACCAAUGCAACUGUUGCAGAAUAAUCCCAUGUGAGAGUGGUGGAAGAUGAAAUCAGAGAGGUAGCAGGUGGCCCUAGCUUUUACUCUGAGUGCGACGGGAAGCUGUUUUUGAGCAAGGGGAGAAAGACAGAAAGAGAGAGAGAGAGACAGAGAGAGAGAGAGAGAGAGAAUUGGGAGGUAUGUGAAUGGGAGGUAUGUGACUCAGGAGUUGGGUUUUGUUCGUUUAAAGUUUGAGAUGUGUAUUAAGAAUCCAGCUGAGAUGUAAAGUUGGGUUGAGGCAUGUGGAAUUCAGGAGAGAGGUCUAGCAGGAGAGAUAAACCUGGGAGCCAUCAGUGUAAAUUGCAUUUAACACCAUGAGCCUGAAUGAGGUCUUAGAGAGGUCUCUAGUGAGGAGGGUAGACCAGGAAAAGAAAGCCGAGGGCUGGGUCUGGGGCCAUUGAUGUUCAGACGUCUGAGAUCUGAGCAGGGACCAGGAGAAACAACCAAGAAGGAGUGGCCAGUGAUGUAGAAGGAGACUCUAGAGAAAAGAGCAUCCUGGAGGCAAAUCAUAAAAGACUUUCAGGAAGAAAGUAGGGACAAAAAUUGUCAAAAGUUUCUGAGAGACUGAGUAAGAUGAAGACCGAGAAUUGAUGAUUGGGCUUUGUAACAUGGAGGUAUUGGAAACCUAGAUAAGGGCUGUUUUGGUGAGGUGAUGGGCAAAAAAGCCCAAAAGGAUUGAGUUCAAGAUGGAAAAAGAGGUCAGAAAUUGGAGACCAUUCUGCAAAGGAGAGCAGAGAAAUGAGUGGGAACUAGAAGUAGGUAAAGGGUCAGCAAAGGGUUUGUGUUUUGCAUUGGAUGGAAAAGGUC